rnacentral:rRNA from 1 species
UGAGGAAUAUUGGUCAAUGGGCGCGAGCCUGAACCAGCCAAGUCGCGUGCAGGAAGAAUGUCCUAUGGAUUGUAAACUGCUUUUGCAGGGGAAUAAAGUGAGCCACGUGUGGUUUUUUGUAUGUACUCUGCGAAUAAGGAUCGGCUAACUCCGUGCCAGCAGCCGCGGUAAUACGGAGGAUCCGAGCGUUAUCCGGAUUUAUUGGGUUUAAAGGGUGCGUAGGCGGGAUAAUAAGUCAGUGGUGAAAGUUUGCAGCUUAACUGUAAAAUUGCCGUUGAAACUGUUAUUCUUGAGAGUAGAUAAGGUAGGCGGAAUGUGUUGUGUAGCGGUGAAAUGCAUAGAUAUAACACAGAACCCCGAUUGCGAAGGCAGCUUACCGGGCUACAUCUGACGCUGAUGCACGAAAGCGUGGGGAUCAAACAG